AGAGUUUGAUCCUGGCCCAGGACGAACGCUGGCGGCGUGCUUAACACAUGCAAGUCGAACGAGAAUCUGUGGAUCGAGGAUUCGUCCAAGUGAAGCAGAGGACAGUGGCGGACGGGUGAGUAACGCGUGAGGAACCUGCCUUUCAGAGGGGGACAACAGUUGGAAAUGACUGCUAAUACCGCAUGAUACAUUUGGGUGGCAUCAUCUGAAUGUCAAAGAUUUAUCGCUGAAAGAUGGCCUCGCGUCUGAUUAGCUAGUUGGUGAGGUAACGGCCCACCAAGGCGACGAUCAGUAGCCGGACUGAGAGGUUGACCGGCCACAUUGGGACUGAGAUACGGCCCAGACUCCUACGGGAGGCAGCAGUGGGGAAUAUUGGGCAAUGGGCGCAAGCCUGACCCAGCAACGCCGCGUGAAGGAAGAAGGCUUUCGGGUUGUAAACUUCUUUUAAGAGGGAAGAGCAGAAGACUGUACCUCUAGAAUAAGCCACGGCUAACUACGUGCCAGCAGCCGCGGUAAUACGUAGGUGGCAAGCGUUGUCCGGAUUUACUGGUGUAAAGGGCGUGCAGCCGGGAAUGCAAGUCAGAUGUGAAAUCCAUGGGCUUAACCCAUGAACUGCAUUUGAAACUGUAUUUCUUGAGUACUGGAGAGGCAAUCGGAAUUCCUAGUGUAGCGGUGAAAUGCGUAGAUAUUAGGAGGAACACCAGUGGCGAAGGCGGAUUGCUGGACAGCAACUGACGGUGAGGCGCGAAAGUGUGGGGAGCAAACAGGAUUAGAUACCCUGGUAGUCCACACUGUAAACGAUGAAUACUAGGUGUGCGGGGACUGACCCCCUGCGUGCCGCAGUUAACACAAUAAGUAUUCCACCUGGGGAGUACGAUCGCAAGGUUGAAACUCGAAGGAAUUGACGGGGGCCCGCACAAGCGGUGGAUUAUGUGGUUUAAUUCGAAGCAACGCGGAGAACCUUACCAGGGUUUGACAUCCUGCUAACGAAGUAGAGAUACAUUAGGUGCCCUUCGGGGAAAGCAGAGACAGGUGGUGCAUGGUUGUCGUCAGCUCGUGUCGUGAGAUGUUGGGUUAAGUCCCGCAACGAGCGCAACCCCUAUUGUUAGUUGCUACGCAAGAGCACUCUAGCGAGACUGCCGUUGACAAAACGGAGGAAGGUGGGGACGACGUCAAAUCAUCAUGCCCCUUAUAUCCUGGGCUACACACGUAAUACAAUGGCGGUCAACAGAGGGAUGCAAAGCCGCGAGGCAGAGCGAACCCCUAAAAGCCGUCCCAGUUCGGAUCGUGGGCUGCAACCCGCCCACGUGAAGUCGGAAUCGCUAGUAAUCGCGGAUCAGCAUGCCGCGGUGAAUACGUUCCCGGGCCUUGUACACACCGCCCGUCACACCAUGAGAGUCGGGAACACCCGAAGUCCGUAGCCUAACCUGAAAAGGAGGGCGCGGCCGAAGGUGGGUUCGAUAAUUGGGGUGAAGUCGUAACAAGGUA
rnacentral:rRNA from 1 species